rnacentral:ncRNA from 1 species
UAAAAUUAAAGUUAUAGUUAAACAAAAUUGCUUAACACUAUAAUAUAUUUUAUUUUAGUAUACAUUUUCUCUUUAUUCUUUUUUUUACAUAUAAUCUUUGAUUUAAUAAUUUACAAGAAGUGUAGUAAAUAUAUUUAAUUAUUUAGUUUAAGCUAGAUUUAGAAAUAGAUUUUGAAAAUUAACUAAUUUUGUGCCAGCAGUUGCGGUUAUACAAUUAAUUUUGGGGGAAAUUAAUGGUUAAUAGUAAUUUGUUUAUUAAAAAUAGUUAAUAAUAAUUAAUUUUAGGGUAAAAUUGAAAUUAAUUAAAAAUUUAAUUCAAAAAUUAUUUUACGAAAUUUAAAUUUAAACUAGGAUUAGAUACCCUACUAUUGUAAAUGUAAAUAUUUUCUGGAGUAGUAAUUGUUAUGAUCAUUAAACUCAAAUAAUUUGGCGGUAUUUUAUCUAAUUAGAGGAACCUGUUUUAUAAUUGAUAAUCCACAACUUACUCUACUUUAAGUAUAUAACUUGUAUACCGCUGUCAUGAAUGUAUUUAAAAAUUCAUUUUCUCUUAAUUUUAUAAAAUUAUAUGUUAGGUCAAGGUGCAGUUUCUUAAAGAAAAUAAUGGGUUACAUUUAAAAUAAUGAAUGAAUUAAUAUUUGAAAAAUAUUAUAAAAUAGGAUUUAAUAGUAAAAUUAUUUUUAGAAAUUAUAUGAAUACAGAUUCUAAAAUAUGUACACAUUGCCCGUCACUCUUAUUUAACAUAAGAUAAGUCGUAACAUAGUAGAUGUACCGGAAGGUGUAUCUAGAAAGAAA